rnacentral:rRNA from 1 species
AGCGAACGCUGGCGGCGUGCCUAACACAUGCAAGUCGAACGGUUCUGUUGGGGGGCUUGCUCUCGACAGAGUAGUGGCAAACGGGUGAGUAACACGUGGGUAAUCUUCCUUCGAGUGAGGAAUAACUUCGGGAAACCGGAGCUAAUACCGCAUAACAUCUUGGGACGGCAGUUCCAAGAUCAAAGGGGGCGCAAGCUCCCGCUUGAAGUUGAGCUCGCGUCCUAUCAGCUAGUUGGUGAGGUAAUGGCUCACCAAGGCUCCGACGGGUAGCCGGCCUGAGAGGGUGGCCGGCCACACUGGGACUGAGACACGGCCCAGACUCCUACGGGAGGCAGCAGUGGGGAAUAUUGCGCAAUGGACGAAAGUCUGACGCAGCGACGCCGCGUGGGUGAUGAAGGCCUUCGGGUCGUAAAGCCCUGUUGAGGGAGAGAAAGCUACUGUCGGUUAAUACCCGGCAGUGGUGAUAGUAUCCCUAGAGAAAGCACCGGCUAACUACGUGCCAGCACG